AUCAACAACCAAUCAAAACCCUUAACUACUACUGAAUGACUUCAUAAUUAUAUGAAAGACCUCAUGCUAAAACUAGUAACAAGAAGCUAACCCUUCUCCUAAUUGCAAGUGUAAGUCGACAUGGAUCCCCCGUCGACAAUUACCGUCUAUGAAACCACUAUAGUAACUCCACCAAGAAAACUCUAUUACCACAUGUGAGCACAAUCACUUGAAUAAUAACGUUAACCUUACACCAGAGCAACCUAGGAAAGAUUAAAAGAAGAGGAAGGAACUCGGCAAACAACUAACCCCGCCUGUUUACCAAAAACAUCGCCUCCUGUCAAGUAAUAGGAGGUCCCGCCUGCCCAGUGACUAUACGUUCAACGGCCGCGGUACCCUAACCGCGCGAAGGUAGCGCAAUCACUUGUCCUUUAAAUGUGGACUAGUAUGAACGGCAUAACGAGGGUUAUACUGUCUCCCUCUUCCAAUCAGUGAAACUGAUCUCCCCGUGAAGAAGCGGGGAUAACAUUAUAAGACGAGAAGACCCCAUGGAGCUUUAAACCCAAAGUCAACUGCUGCCGCAUAUAUCCCCAAAGCUAUAGCAGAUUUCUGUCACUUUGGUUUUCGGUUGGGGUGACCGCGGAGCAAAAUAAAACCUCCACGAUGAACGGAACUAACUCCUAAUCCAAGAGCUACAACUCAAAGAAUCAAAACUUUGACAUAAAUUGAUCCAAAUAAUUUGAUCAACGAACCAAGUUACCCUGGGGAUAACAGCGCAAUCCAUUUUUAGAGCUCCUAUCGACAAAUGGGUUUACGACCUCGAUGUUGGAUCAGGGUAUCCCAGUGGUGUAGCCGCUACUAAAGGUUC
rnacentral:rRNA from 1 species